rnacentral:tRNA from 1 species
UGCGGAAGUGCCGGAGUGGUCAAACGGGUCUGACUAAGGAUCAGAUGGCUUAGUGCCUGCGAGGGUUCGAAUCCUUUCUUCCGCAU